CCUACGGGUGGCAGCAGUGAGGAAUAUUGGUCAAUGGGCGUAAGCCUGAACCAGCCAAGUCGCGUGAGGGAUGAAGGUUCUAUGGAUCGUAAACCUCUUUUAUAAGGGAAUAAAGUGCGGCACGUGUGCCGUUUUGUAGGUACCUUAUGAAUAAGGAUCGGCUAACUCCGUGCCAGCAGCCGCGGUAAUACGGAGGAUCCGAGCGUUAUCCGGAUUUAUUGGGUUUAAAGGGUGCGUAGGCGGAAUGCCAAGUCAGCGGUAAAAUCGCGGGGCUCAACCCCGCCCCGAGGUUGAAACUGGGGUUCUUGAGUGCGCGAGAAGUAUGCGGAAUGCGUGGUGUAGCGGUGAAAUGCAUAGAUAUCACGCAGAACUCCGAUUGCGAAGGCAGCAUACCGGCGCGCAACUGACGCUGAGGCACGAAAGCGUGGGUAUCGAACAGGAUUAGAUACCCUAGUAGUC
rnacentral:rRNA from 1 species